AAUAUUGGACAAUGGGCGAAAGCCUGAUCCAGCAACGCCGCGUGAGGGAUGACGGCCUUCGGGUUGUAAACCUCUUUCAGCAGGGACGAAGCGCAAGUGACGGUACCUGCAGAAGAAGCACCCGCCAACUACGUGCCAGCAGCCGCGGUAAUACGUAGGGUGCGAGCGUUGUCCGGAAUUAUUGGGCGUAAAGGGCUCGUAGGCGGUUUGUCACGUCUGGAGUGAAAACUCGGGGCUUAACUCCGAGCCUGCUUCCGAUACGGGCCGACUAGAGGUAUGCAGGGGAGAACGGAAUUCCUGGUGUAGCGGUGAAAUGCGCAUAUAUCAGGAGGAACACCGGUGGCGAAGGCGGUUCUCUGGGCAUUACCUGACGCUGAGGAGCGAAAGUGUGGGGAGCGAACAGGAUUAGAUACCCUGGUAGUCCACACCGUAAACGUUGGGCGCUAGGUGUGGGACACAUUCCACGUGUUCCGUGCCGCAGCUAACGCAUUAAGCGCCCCGCCUGGGGAGUACGGCCGCAAGGCUAAAACUCAAAGGAAUUGACGG
rnacentral:rRNA from 1 species